GACGAACGCUGGCGGCGUGCUUAACACAUGCAAGUCGAACGGUAAGGCCCUUCGGGGUACACGAGUGGCGAACGGGUGAGUAACACGUGGGUGAUCUGCCCUGCACUUUGGGAUAAGACUGGGAAACUGGGUCUAAUACCGAAUAUGACUACAGGCUGCAUGGUCUGUGGUGGCAAGCUUUUGCGGUGUGGGAUGGGCCCGCGGCCUAUCAGCUUGUUGGUGGGGUGAUGGCCUACCAAGGCGACGACGGGUAGCCGGCCGGAGCGGGUGACCGGCCACACUGGUACUGAGAGACGGCCCAGACUCCUACGGGAGGCAACGGUGGCGAAUAUUGCACAAUGGGCGCAAGCCUGAUGCAGCGACGCCGCGUGAGGGACGACGGCCUUCGGGUUGUAAACCUCUUUCAGCGCAGACGAAGCGCAAGUGACGGUAUGUGCAGAAGAAGGACCGGCCAACUACGUG
rnacentral:rRNA from 1 species